rnacentral:rRNA from 1 species
UCGAGGGGCAGCGGUGGUGAAGGCUUGCCUUUACCAGCCGGCGACCGGCGCACGGGUGAGUAACACGUAUGCAACCUGCCUGCCACAGCCGGAUAAUCGGGAGAAAUUCCGUCUAAUACGGCAUAAUGCAUCGACGGGACAUCCUGUUGGUGCCAAAGGUUAAUUCCGGUGGCGGAUGGGCAUGCGUCGCAUUAGUUAGUUGGCGGUGUAACGGACCACCAAGACGACGAUGCGUAGGGGUUCUGAGAGGAAGGUCCCCCACACUGGUACUGAGACACGGACCAGACUCCUACGGGAGGCAGCAGUGAGGAAUAUUGGUCAAUGGGCGGGAGCCUGAACCAGCCAAGUCGCGUGAGGGAUGACGGCCCUAUGGGUUGUAAACCUCUUUUGCCGGGGAGCAAAGUGCCGCACGUGUGCGGUUUGGAGAGUACCCGGAGAAAAAGCAUCGGCUAACUCCGUGCCAGCAGCCGCGGUAAUACGGAGGAUGCGAGCGUUAUCCGGAUUUAUUGGGUUUAAAGGGUGCGUAGGCGGUCGGAUAAGUUAGAGGUGAAAUCCCGGGGCUCAACUUCGGAAUUGCCUCUGAUACUGUUCGGCUAGAGAGUAGUUGCGGUAGGCGGAAUGUAUGGUGUAGCGGUGAAAUGCUUAGAGAUCAUACAGAACACCGAUUGCGAAGGCAGCUUACCAAGCUACUUCUGACGUUGAGGCACGAAAGCGUGGGGAGCAAACAGGAUUAGAUACCCUGGUAGUC